rnacentral:lncRNA from 1 species
CACACCUAUAAUCUGGGCAACAAGGUGAGAUUGUCUCAGAAUUUAAAAAAUUAUUUUUAAAAAGGAGGCUGGGUUAUAGCUUAAUGAGAAAGUGCUUGUCUAGCAUGCAGAAAGCCCUAAGUUCAAUCCCCAGUACCAUUUAAAAAAGAGGGGAAAUUCCUGAGUUUAGCUUGUGGUCCUACGGACUGAACCUAGAGGUACUCUGUCACUAAGCUAUUUUGAGACAGUCUCGCUAUGUUGAUGAGGCUGGCCUAGAACUUGCAAUCCUCCCUCCUCAACCUCCUACGUAGCUGGAAUUACAGGGCUGUGCCACCAUGCCCAGCUUUCCUUCAGAGUUUUUGAUUCAGUGCAGAAAUGGAAAAACUGAUCCUAAAAUUCAUAUGGAAUGGCAGGGGAUCCUAAAAACCAAAACAAUUUUGAAUAAGAACAAAGUUGGAGGAUUCACACUUUCUGAUUCCAAACUCAUUACACAACUACAGUAAUCAAAAUUGUGUAAUACUGGCUUAAGGCUAGACAUAUAUCAAGAGAAUAGAUUUUGAGUCCAGAACUAAAUUCAUAUAUCUAUGGUCAAUAGAUUUUUUUUUUUUUUUUGUACUGGGGAUUGAACCCAGGGGCGCUUAGCAACUGAGCCACAUCCUUAGCCUUUUUUUUUUUUUUUUGUAUUUUAUUUAGACACAGGGUCUGGAUGAGUUGCUUAGGGCCUGACUGAGUUGCUGAGGCUGGCUUUGAACUUGUGAUCCUCCUAUCUCAGCUUCCCGAGCCACUGGGAUUGAUUAUAGGCAUGUGCCAUCACACCUGACUUGGUCUAUAGAUUUUUGACAAGAGUGCCAAGACCAUUCACAAGGAAAAGGAUUGUUCUUAUUUUCUUCUUUUUUUAAUGGUGCUAAGGAUUGAACCCAGGGCCUUGUGAAUGCAGGGUAAGCAUUCUACCAACUGAGCUAUAUCCCCAGCCCUAGGCUAGUUCUUUAAUAAAUGGUUAAGGGACAACUGGAAAUCCACACUCAAAACAGUAAAAUGAAGCCAGGUGGGAUGGUAUAUGCCUGUAAUCCCAGUGGCUUUGGAGGCUGAGACAGAGGAUUUCAAAUUCAAAGCUAGCCUCAGCAACAGUGAGGCCCUAAGCAAUUCAGUGAGACCCUGUCUCCAAAUAAGGUACUAAAUAGGGCUGGGGAUGUGGCUCAGUCGUCGGGUGCCCCUGAGUUCAAUUCCCAGUAACUCCCAAAAAAAACAAUAAAAUGAAAAGUUUGGACCCUACCUCACAUCCUAUAAAAUGGGCUUCCAGAUAGCUGAACAUGUGAAGCUCCAUGUCGCUUUCCAUGUUCCUUACCCAAUCUACCUCUUUUUUCCCCCCACUCUUAGUACCAGGAAUUGAACUCAGGGGUACUUAAUCACUGAGCCACAUCCCCUGCCCUUUUUAUUUAUAUUUUGAGACAGGGUUAACUUAGGACCUGACUAAGUUGCUGAGGCUGGCUUUGAACUUGCAGUCCUCCUGGCUCAGCCUCCCAAAUCACUGGGAUUAUAGGCAUGUACCAUCAUACCCAGCUUUAUCCACUUCUUUUAUCUAGCUGUUUCAUGUGAAUCCUUUGGAUAGCCUCUGUAAUAAAUAGGUAAGUCCACUUGGCAUUCCAGAUCAUACAAUCAGUUUCUUUCCCAGGAACUGGAUUUUUUUUUGCAUGAAUAUUUUAUUUAUGUUAAGAAGGCAUAGCUACAAUAAAAAAGAAUAUAUAUUUUUUAGCAGUCUAGCCAGUCAUGAUGGCAUAUGGCUAUAAUCAAGUGACUCAAGAGGUCAAGGCAGGAGGAUCACAAAUUUGAGGCCAGCCUGGGCAACUUUGUGAGGCUCUGUCUCAAAAAAAAAAAAAAAAAAAGUUCUGGGGAUAUAAUUUAAUGAUAAAGCAUCCCUGAGUCCAAUCCCCAGUACAAAAAAAAAAAAAAAAAAAAAUCAGGAAUCUACAUCUGAACUCUUCUAUUGGGGAUUCCCAGAAGGUCCAUCAGCAUUCUUAUCUGCAGUAGACAUUUGGAGCACUGCUGAAUCUGCUAGGUCAUAAAGCCCAAGCAAGAAACCGCUUAUACUAACUUCAGAACCUUCUCUUACUUUGGGCCUGUAUUUGUUUCCUAUUGCUAUGCAAUAGAUGACCACAAACUUAAUGGCUAAAACAAAAACAAACAGAAGCCAAUGUGGUGACACACACUAUAAUCUCAAAGACUCGGGAGGCUGAGGCAGGAGGAUCACAAAUUGGGCAAUUUAACAAGACCCUAUCUCAAAACUUAAAAAGAAAAAAAAAAGGAGCAGAAUAUAUAGCUUAGUGGUAAUAAACAAACAAACAAACCCUGGGUACAAACUGGGCAUGGUGGUGCACAUUUGUAAUCCCAGCAGUUCAAAAGAGGCUGAGGCAGGAGGAUUGCAAGUCCAGAGCCAGCCUCAGCAAACGCGAGGCACUAAGCAACUAAAAUACAAAUAAAAUACUAAGAGAAUAAAACGCAAAAUAGGGCUGGGAAUGUGGCUCAGUGGCCUAGUGCCCCUGAGUUCAACCCCGGUAUCCAAAAAAAAAACAAAAAAACCCACAACUCUGGGUGCAGUCUCUCCCUAGUACCACACACACACAUAGGUAAAAAGACAUUUUCCAUUUUAUUUAUUAAUCCGAAAAUCAUGUAGGAUUCGGAAUAUAUACAUUUUAUAUAUAUAUACACUUCCAACUAGGGUUUGGGGUUGUGGCUCAGUGGCAGAGCACUUGCUUCACACAAGUGAGGCACUGGGUUUGAUCCUCACUCAGCACCACAAAAAAAUAAAUAAAUAAAUAAACAAAAUAAUGAUAUUGUGUCUAUGUAUAACUAAAAAAAAUAUUUAAAAAAAUAACUUCCAACUCAACAACAAAAAGACAGUCCAAUUUUUUUUUUAAAGGGCAAAAGUUUUGGGGAUGUGGCUUAGUAGUAGAGCGCUUACCCAGCACGUACAAGGCCCUGGGUUUUGAUCCCCAGCACUGCCAAAAUAACAAUAACAAUAAUAAUAAAAUCAAAUGGGCAAAGGAUUUGAAUAGAUAUUUCUCCAAAGAAGACAUACAAAUGUCCAAUAAAUACAUGAAGAUGCUCAUCAUCAUUAGUCACUAAGGAAAUUCAAAUCAAACCCAAAAUGUGUUACCACUUCAUACCCACUAUAGUAAGGAAAACAACAAGUGUUGGCAAGAACAAAUAGGUAGUAGAACGCUUGCAUGUUCCUAAUGGAGUGUAAAAUGAUGCAGCUGCUAUGAAAAACAGUUUGGUAGCUCCUUAAAAAAUUAAACACAGCCAGGCACAGUGGUGCACACCUGUAAUUCCAGUGGCUCAGGGGGUUGAGGCAGGAGGAUCACGAGUUCAAAGCCAGACUCAGCAACUUAGUGAGGCCCUAAGCAACUUAGUGAGAACCUGUCUCAAAAUAAAACAUAACAAUGGCUGGGGAUAUGGUUCAGUGGUUAACGUCCCUGGGUUCAAGUACUGGUAUCAAAAAAAAAAAAAAAGAAAGAAAGAAAAAGAAAAAAGAAAAGAAAGUUAAACAUAGAAUUAUAAUGUAACUCAGCAAUUCCAUUCCUAGGUAUUUACCUGAGAGAACUGAAAACAAAACUCAAACAAAUACUUGUAUUUGAAUGCUCGUACUAGUAAUAGUCAUAAUAGGCAAAAGCAAGAAGCUACCCAAAUAUCCAUCAAUGGAUGAUUGACUGAAUAGCAUUAAAAAGAAAGGCUACAACAAGGAAGAACCUUGAAAACAUUGUGUUAAGUGAAAGAAGCGAGACACAAACGAUCACAUAGUGUAUGACCUCAUUUACACGAAAUGUCCAGAACGGGGAAAUCCAGAGACAGAAGGCAGGUUGGUGGUAGGCAGGGGCUAGGGAGAAGGGCAAAGGGGGGUGACUUCAGGAGCUUCGCUGAGGGAUAGUAAAGAUGUCUUAGAACUGACUGGAGGGCUGGGGAUAUAGCUCAGACAGUAGAGUGCUUGCCUUGCAUACAGAAGGCCCUGGGUUCAAUUCCCAGCACCAAAAAAAAAAAAAAGCCUUUUGGGGCUGGGGAUGUGGCUCGCGCCAUAGCGCAUGGCAUGCGCUAUGGAUGCAUGGCAUCCUCAGCACCACAUACCAAAAAAGAUGUUGUGUCUCCCGAAAACUAAAAAAUAAAUAAAUAAAUAAAUAUUAAAAAAAAAAAAGAACUGACUGGAGGUAAGGAUUGUGCAACAUGGUGAAUGUAUAAAUGUCACUGGAAUGUAUACCUUCAAACGACUGGUGUUUUGUUAUGUAAAUUUUAUCUUAGUUUUUUUGUUUUUUUAAAGCAGAUUCUUUGGACCCCAUUUUCAAAGAUUUUGACUCAGCACAUCCAGCAGGAGGCCCAGAAUCUGAGUUUUCAACAUGUACUUGAAAUGCCUCUGAUGUCACUAAACCAUGUAAGUCCUCUUAUUAAUCUCUUUCCAUAAUCUCUUUCCUCUUUUUUUCCUAAUAUACAUCAUAAUUGUAAUUUCUUAUCCAGAAACUCUUUCUCCCCUAGACUGUAAACUCCAUGAGGGCAGGGUUUAUGUCUUCCUUAUUCAUCAUAUCCCUAGCAUUUAAAAGAAGUACCUGAACAGUACACAUGUUCAGUAGAUACUGGGUGAAUUGAAUGACUGAACUGGAUUAUCUAGAAGGAAGCAAAGUACAAGUUGAAAGGCACAAGGGGUCCUUGAGCCCAAGAACCUACAGUCUAAAUGGUCCAAGAUUUAAAAGUCCUUGUUUCCAUGACUCUCACUGCAUGGGGGAGUGUAUCAGCCCACCAUGUAGAAAUCAGUUGAAAUUAUGGUUUGAAUGUUUCCUCCAAAACUCAAGUUAGAAUUUAUUUUCUGGUGCUGGAGAUCAAACCCAGGACUUCUGCAUGCUAGAAAAUUGCUGUACCACUGAGCUGAACUCCCAGCUGUACUGAAGAUUGAACCCAGGGGCUCUUUGCCACUGAGCUACAUUCCCAGACCUUAUUAUUUUAUUUUACUUUUUAAUUUUGAGUAAGGAUCUUGCUAAAUUGCUAAGGAUCUCACUAAGUCACUGAGGCUAGCCUGAAACUUGGUGAUCCUCCUGCCUCAGCUUCCAGAGUUGUUGAGAUUACAGGCAUGCACCACCACCGUCAGGCCCCAUAUUGAAAUGUAAUUGCCACUGUAACAAUGUUGAGAGGUAGGCCCUUUAAGAGAUGAUUAGGUCAAAAGUGAGUUUGUUAUAACUUCUGACCCUCUUGUCCUCUCUUUCUCUCUCUCAUGCAUGCUCUCUUGCCCUUCCACCAAGUUGUGGUACAACAAGAAGACCCUUGCUAGAUGCAGCCCCUUGAUCUUGGACUUCCCAGCUUCAGAACCAUGAGCCAAAGAAACUUUUAUUUUUUUGUUUGUAAUUUUCUCAGCCUGUGGUAUUAUGUUAUAGUAGCAGAAAGCAGAUGAAGAUAGUUGGAAAGACAGGCCUUGUGCAGUACCCCAAACUGGGCUCCCCUUGGGGAGGCACGUCUAGGAGCUCAUGGCCAGACAUGGGCAGAGCAGUCUUGGUUCUGAGACUCCUGAGGCUGGCUUCCGGGGGGCAUAGCUCUGUUGGCAUCUCCUAGCCACAAAACUCUAGCCAGGUUUUCCUGGCCUGCCUGGCUGAUUCUAGUGCCUUUUGGCUGGGUGACCACUCUUACUCUUGGCUGCUUCCACAGUGCCUUAGAGCACACGGUCAGCAAAAUGAUUUCCCUCACCAUUACUGAACUGGCUCUGGGUCAACCCACUGUCGUCUGUGCUGGCUUCUGAGGGCUUGCCAACAUUGCAGGAAGCCGAUGCAGCCAGGAGGGUGUAGGUGAGAUAUCCAGGGGACUGCCGAAGCCUCAGACCUUGUCCCCUCACAAAGUCAGCAUUCUGCAAUUUUCUCCUCAUUGCUCUUAGCCGGUCAUCCAGGCCCCCUAGAUCUUAUCUUAUGACCAACCUCUUUGAUUUCUCUCCCUUCCCGCUGUGUGUUCUCUGAGGGGCAGAAUGAAGUUUUCUAACUCUGCACUGAGUUUAUGAAUAUCAAUUAAUCCUAAAUCAAUCAAUACUUCCCACCUAUGUAAAUACACACAUGUAUACACAGAAGCUACAAAAACAGGCAGUCAAUAUGCUUCAAAGAAAAAAUAGAAUCUUUUCUUAAUGGUAUCAUUGGCUAAUUGUAUGAAAUUCUCUCAAAGCCCUCAAAUUCUUCCCUUGACAUGAAAAAAAAAAUCAGCUCCUUUGAGCAUCUACUACAACCACCUGGAAGUGAUGCUCAGUGUUUUACAUGUUGCCUCAUUCAGUUCUCAGGCAGCCACACACACUGUCUAAAACAUGUACAUGCACAGUUUAAUAAAUAAUUAUGUCCCACAAUAAGUUAAAAAGCACCUGUUCAUAUAUCUGUGAUGAACAUUCCUUUGGGUUUUUUUUUUUGGGUGUGUGUGUGUGUGUGUGUGUAGUGCUAAGGAGGAGCCUGUGCAUGCUACUCAAGUGUUCCACCACAGAGCCCCAGGCCCCUUGCUUUCUUUAUACUUUUACUACUUAUGCAUGCAUUCCUAAAUGAUAUAGUUUUGUCUAUUUUUGAAAUAUAAGUGAAUGGAAUCACACUGUAUAUGUUAUUUGAGUUUUUAAACUUACUCUUAUUUUUGUGAAGUUAAUGAAUUUAGGUUGUUUUAUGUAUCUGAAGUUAAUUGAGGUUUAUUGCUGCACAUUCCGUGUGUAAAAUACCACAAGUGAUCUUUCCAUUCACAAUGUAAGGGAUUUGACUUCUAUUCCUUUUUUGGACUUUAUGAACAUUCUUAUGCAUGAGUUUUGGUGUAUUGGGGUUCAAAACCCUAAGGCAUAUGAUUAAUACUGGAAUCACUAUAUCAAAGACUAUUAGUAUCUUAACAGCUUUAAUGGACAAGUCCAAAGGUUGUUUUCCAAAGGGGUUGUGAUGUUGUGCUUAUUCCUCUCAUCCUACUGAUGAGGAAACCGAGGCUCAGUUCCUUAGUAACUUAGGGUCACCAGUUCAAAGAGGGUAGAGCUGAAAGUAUAUUAAAUCAAUCUGAUUUCAAAACCUAUGCUCUUGACCAACUAACUCACUGUCUACCCUCUUUUAAAAAUUAAGUUACAUCCAACUGGUAUAACUAGGAAGCCAGAAAUAACUCAGUAACUUAAAUAACAGAAAUGCAUUUUUCCCCCUCACAUAAUGACCCGAAGAGUGUUUCAGGUCAGCAGGCAGCCCUGUUCCAUAUGGUCAUUAGAAAUCAAGGAUCCUCUACUGCCUUGUUAUAGGGGGCAUGGUUGAGGUCAGAUUGUUGCCAUGUCUGAGAUCCAGCUGGGAGAGUGUGGGAGUAUGAGCAAGGUUUAAUGUAUGUGUAAGGUUUUACAGACAUGGCACUCGUAAAUGAAGGCUAAGGGCAUGUGGUCAGACACGGUGAGCUUAGAAUCAAAUCAGUCUCAGAUAUCCAGCCAUAUUCUCCUCAGCAAGGAGAUAUUCACUUAGCAUGCGCAGAGAACCAAUAGUUCUAUACAGUGCUCUGUAGGUCUCCUAAUGCCAGAGGCAUCUUCCACUAGAAGAAGCUGUGCCUGUCUGGGAGGUCUGCAUAGGUAAAAGACUGGACAAGAUGACAUCUAGGUCCUUUCCCAAUUUGGGCCUACAUUCCAAAGUCAAAUGGAAAUUGUUCUAAAGUGUCUGGCAUUCUGAAUCAACUUUUCGACUUUUUUCCUGCCUCAUGGUAAAGAAAGUACCUCUCUCUGUCAGGAUUAUGAUCUAUCCUGGAACCCUAGGGGAGAAGCUGGAGGGGGCACUGGUGGGAGGGCAAGGUGGUGGGAUUGGGUAAGGAUCACUUGGAUAGAUCUCUUAACUACUCUCAGCCUCAGUUUUCUCAUCUGUAAAGUGUGCCUAUGUCUGAGAAAGAAGUAGUAAUUAUCCCUAUUUUACAGAUGCAGAAUCUGAGGCUUGGAGAAGUGAACUUGCCCAGGAAUUUGCUAUGGAAAGCAGAAUCAGGAUUCAGGAUUCAAGCCCAGACAGUCUGACUCCAGAGUCAGAAUUGAUAAUUACCAAAGUAUCAUUGUUGGGGUGCCGGAAAGCGGGUGUGUGUGUGUGUGGGGGGGGUAGGGUAAACUACUACAUUUAAUAGAACAACCAUUGUUAGAUGUUCUCUGGCUUCCCAGUCGAUUAGAACGAGUGUUUUCGCAUGAAGGAAACAUGAUAUUUGGGUACAGUGAGAAUGAGGAAGACUCCACCCCAUCUGUCUCGCUCAUGGUUUCUUUCUUGGGAGUAAGGCUGCCUUGAAGCUCAAUGGUAUAGCCUUGCCUAACCCGGGCAAGGCCCUGGGUUCAAUCCCCAGCACCAGGGAGGGCGGCUUGUUCUUUCUAGCGUUGGCAGCCUCUGGCAGGCCCCAAAUAGUGGAACGGCCACAUUAACACGGCCUGGGGCGCCUGCCCCCCAGCGAGGAAGGCUUGGAGCGGCCUCUCUGCAGGCACUGAAGCUCCGGCCCCCAGCAGCCAAGGUUUGGAGGAGGGAGGAGGGGUGCAGCGGUUGCUACGGUUUAUGCUCCUCCAGAGCUUCAGAGCAAGAUUUCCCCAAAAAGCCAUAUUAAAUAAAUAAAAGGAAAUUCAGCAGAUGGGAACAUGAAUCAAUGAAAACUCCCAUAUGAGUGCAAAGAUUUAUGUCAAAAAACAAAACAUCAACAUCUGGGAGCUGCCGCGUCUUCUCUUGGCUGCUCGUUUGGAAUGGAUUCUCGGUGUCGCUUUCCGCCUCUUUCUGGCCCUGGGAGAGUGCGAAAAGAAAUAAAGAAUGAAGCCCAUUUAAAAAGAGUCGUUUUUAAUCAGAAAUGAACGCUGCUUUCCCCCUCAACGCUGGAGGAGACGUGAAGCAGGCGCAGGACUACGGGCUCAGUCCUGGGAGUGCGGGAAGGGAGCCCUCUGCCGGAGGCUGCCGGGCGCCCCUCCCUGCCCAACCCGGGGCGGCUCCCGGGUGGGAUGCCUCCAGA